UCCAGAUGCAGCGGCACUAUCUCCAUCACUGGUGAAAUGGGAAAUGACGAGUGGACGGUCAACACUUUGUAACUCCCCGAUACAGUUUGCGGCCCAUCUCUUCUCAUCUCCAAUGGUGGUCUCCGGAGGAAGGGUUGCAGUGUAGUCUUCGUGUCCUGGGCAGGUCUGUUGCAUGUUGGUGGCUGAAGCUGGUUCAAUAUUUGCACCAAGAAGCAUACCAAGCAUACCCUCUGUUGUAAGACUGGUACCCAGGUGACCGACAGCCAUGGCCACAUUUAGCUGUGCAGCUUUUCAUCCCCUUCCAGAUCUCCUCACCUCUUCGUAAAGCUUUUCUCGGUGACUGAUAUAGUGGCACUUCUUACAUCAUAUAAAAGGAUCCAUGCCAGGCCUCGUUUUUCCUCCCCAUGCUGAUUCCAGUCCAGUGAACCAUCACAGUAUGGAAACUUAUAGCUGCCUGGUCUACUAAGAGAAACUCCAUUCUUUGAUGACUGAUGGAAAAGCCUCAUCACCCCCCACUGCUAAAGAACCCCUUAUCUUAAUCACCAGCCAUUAAUCAGUGAUCACUGUUAUCAAAGCUCCAAGGUACAUUAUUGAAGUCUCUUUUGACACCAUUUUUUCCAGUCUCUGACUUUGUUUUAGAAUUAAGAUUUUCAAUUUUUUGCUAAUUAAUUCCGUAUAAAUCACUAAACUUCCUGUUUCUUAACUAAUUAGAGCUUAUUAAUUAGAGUUCAAAAAACUUUUAAGCAGAUAGCCAAAAACCCCAACAUUUCAGCUUGCAUUUCAUUCCAAAUUUUUUUCUCAAUAAUUAACUCAUAAGAUUUUUUUAAGUUUUGAAAUUAAUAUACUGUAGAUGAAUUUGUAUAGAAAUUUAGCCUAAAAUUCAAUAAUCUGUUAGGAAGAGUUAUCUCCUAUUUU